AAAGUUUGAUGGGAAUUCCUGAUUUCAAAUUUAUUACCUAAGAAUGUCCAUUUGCUUUCAGAAUGUGCUUUUUAGCAGCCUCAACAACAGUUAUCUGGAAGAAAAUGUGGUCUCUGUGAGGGCAAGGAUUCAACAUUUUUUCUAAAAGUUCCAUGAUCUUGGAUUUAAAAUGAAAACAGUUUUGGAGCCUGGGAAGUCCAGUAUCAAGAUGCCUGCAUUUGGUGAGGAUCUUCAUGCUGAUUAUUCCAUGUUGAAAAGCAGAAUGGCAAGAGAGUGCAAGAGCAAGCAGGAAGAUAUCUGAACUCACCUUUUUAUUAGGAACUCACUCCCAUGGUAAGUAACCAACUCUAUUGAUAAUACCAUUAAUCCACUGAUGAGGACAGACCCUCUCGUGAUCUAAUUACUAAUUGAAUUACUUGACACUGUUGCAUUGGGAAUUAAAUGUCCAACACAUCAGUUUGGGGGGACACAUUCAAACCAUAGCAAUGACUGAAUAGUUUUCAGCAUGCUACCAUCCCCAAUGAUCUAAAUCAUAAAAGGGAUAAAAAAGGUUUAGAUCUUUCUAAGAUAAAUGAAAUCCAUUCCAGAAGCUCCUGGAUGAUUUCCUGAACACCAUAAUCUUCCAGAAUUGCUUAAUAAAAUCUCAUCGAAAUCAAUCAAGGUUGAGAAGAAUGGAAUUGUCAUGGUAUUCAGUAAUGAAGAUUCUCCCUCUAGCUGGGUCUAAGGGGAGCUCAUCUUUCUGACACAGGUGGCUACUAAUGUGGACUAAAUCUGUAGUUAGAUUAGUAAAGAAAAAUUGGAAAAGAAUGGCUAGCUGUUCAGUGACCAACAGUGCCUGCCACAGAUCAUAAUAACCUUAUUUCAAAUGAAUCAUAAAUCAAUACCAAGAGGAAUGCGAUGAGAGAAAAAAAUAGAUAAGUAUAGUGGUUUUAUUAUGAAGUCCUGGGGAAGAUUUUGGUACUGUUUUCUGUUUCUGGAAAUGUAAUCUAUUUUUUUUACUUCUAUUUCUUCCAAUAAUUAAUAUUUUUGCAAAAUUAAUAGUCAAUUAUAUAUAGUAAAACUGAGUAUUUGAAAGAAAAUAUUUUAAUCAUGGAAUACUGGAGAAUAUAUAGAGAAAAACAAAAUAAUGCUUUUCAGCAUUUUUUCCAACAGGCAAGGCAUAUACUUAAGCACCCUUAACUCAGAUAAAGAGAGAAUAAGAUAAUGCUAAAACAGUGGGAAAAUUAAUAGUUUUUGUAAUAUCAUAAAAGAAACUAUAAUUAGGCCAUACCCAAAUGCUAUUCUUAAAAUUUUAUCAAUAUACAUAAAGUUUCAAAAUUUAAAAUUAACAGUAUCACUAAGAAGUUCAAAAUUAAUAUAUUACUACUAUGUUAUUAUUAAGAAAUCUUGCUUGUUUUAAUUUAAAGGGUAACUUUUAUGUUCAGAAGCUUUAGAACACAAAAUAGUAAACAACUUUAAAAAUAGAAGAGAAAUACUGUAGCUAAUAGUUUUUGCUUAAGAAUUCUAACAGUUAUACUUUGGAAUUAAAAAAAAAAAAUGAGCAGGUUAUUCAGUUAACUGGAAAGUACCUCCAUGACAUCAGAUAGAUACUGACAUCCAAUAUUAAUGUGGCAGAAAUUUAGCUUAGCUUACAAACAGACCUGGCUCAUUGUAACCUCCUGAAAUCAUCCAGAGGGUAACCUUCAGGCUAGUAGAUAUGACCCUGGGGACAUAAUUGAGGUGUCUUUGUUUGAAAAACAUAUAAUUGAGUUGGCUCAUUUUGAAACCCCUUAGAGUUGACAGCUGUAGUAAAUUUCCC
ensembl:lncRNA